GGCGGAGUCUGAUGCUCCAGAGGCUUCACCUCCUCACACUCCGCCUCUUUCUGUGGAUUCUGCGAUGGACAGCUCAGAUGACUGCAGCGUUCUGUCGCUGGGUGAGGUGCCAAUCUCCUGGGUGGAACCGAAUGCCUGCAUUACGGAGGUGGUUUCUGAUCCGGAGAUCAGCCCACAGCACAUUGACGUUCUUCUGCCAUUUUGC